GUGGGGGAUAUUGCACAAUGGGGGGAACCCUGAUGCAGCGACGCCGCGUGAGCGAAGAAGUACCUCGGUAUGUAAAGCUCUAUCAGCAGGGAAGAAAAUGACGGUACCUGACUAAGAAGCCCCGGCUAAAUACGUGCCAGCAGCCGCGGUAAUACGUAUGGGGCAAGCGUUAUCCGGAUUUACUGGGUGUAAAGGGAGCGCAGGCGGCCUGCCAAGUCUGGUGUGAAAACCCGGGGCUCAACCCCGGGCCUGCAUUGGAAACUGGCGGGCUGGAGUGUCGGAGGGGCAGGCGGAAUUCCUAGUGUAGCGGUGAAAUGCGUAGAUAUUAGGAGGAACACCGGUGGCGAAGGCGGCCUGCUGGACGAUGACUGACGCUGAGGCUCGAAAGCGUGGGGAGCAAACAGGA
rnacentral:rRNA from 1 species